rnacentral:rRNA from 1 species
UACGGAGGGGGCUAGCGUUGUUCGGAAUUACUGGGCGUAAAGCGCACGUAGGCGGCUUUGCAAGUUAGAGGUGAAAGCCCGGGGCUCAACUCUGGAAUUGCCUUUAAAACUGCAUCGCUAGAAUUGUGGAGAGGUAAGUGGAAUUCCGAGUGUAGAGGUGAAAUUCGUAGAUAUUCGGAAGAACACCAGUGGCGAAGGCGACUUACUGGACACAUAUUGACGCUGAGGUGCGAAAGCGUGGGGAGCAAACAGG